GAAUCGACACCGGCAUCAUCUCCUCCACGCGAAUCGACGAUCCGCAGGUCCCAUGAGCUCCUCUCCCAUGGCGAUGGAUGGUGAGCUCCUCUGCUCUACUCACCCCGCGACCCUCUCUACUCCCACCAUCCUCUGCUCCACUCCCUCGCCAUCCUCCUCUCCCCUCCUCUGGGCUGGCAAAGCUCGCGCACGCCGGGGCUAGGCUAGCGGAGCCUCGCUCGUGCGGCGGAGCACUCCCGCACCGGGGCUGAGGUGGUGGCGCUCGCCCACGGACGUCGAAUCGAGCGCGGGGACAUCGGAAUCGAGGCAUCGAGCUUGAGGUGGAUUUCCAUGGAGGCGACGAGGAUGUCGGUGGCGCAGUGGCGGAGGGUACGGAAGUGAAGCGGAAAGCUCCGGUCGAUAGCAGUUGGCCUUCCGCCACACGCCACACUGGGGGUGAACGCCGCCGCCAGGGAGCAAGGUCACCGGCUAGCACGGCAGUCGGGAUCCGGGCUCUCCGCCGUCGCGUCCUUCACCGUGCCCCCCCUCCCCCCGGCACCGUACAAACUAGAGGUGCAGGUGGUCACCCAGGUAUGCCUCCUGCAGCCGCAAAGUGUUUACCCGCCUCACGUUGUUGAUCAAGCACAAUUGUUGGUAGCGAAAGGGUUGCAUCUACUGAACCUCGCAAUUGUUGGUAGCAAAAGGGUUGCAUCUGCUGAACCUCAGUUCAUUGUCCACCGUUUUUGCAGGUUCAUGCUUGACAUUCAGUUGGUUGGGCCAACAAAUUCUUGACAUUCAGUUGGUUGGGCCAACAGAUUCACUUCCGGUAACUCCUGCAUUCCUUAAUGUAGAGCCCUUACUCUUGUGUGGCUUCCUGAACAUGCUUUACUCCUGCAUUGCCUGUGAUUAUGAACAUUGUGUUGUAAUGCUUGGGUGUUCUGUGCAUUAGCAUUGCAAAUUUUUAGCUUCCUGUUGCUACUUAGGUACACAUGCUCCAUUUUUGUACUGUGAUGUUGAACUACUAAAAAUUUGGCAUACAUGUAUGACCUCAUAACUGGGUUACCAUGACAAACAGACAUACAUGACAUGUUUGCUCAUACUACAAACCAUGAGCAUCUAAUCUCUGUUUACCUGGUUCUGUCCAUGGUCAUGAUGUUAUCACUUGUGUGCAUUGUGCUUCCAGCAUGCUCUUCAGCUUAAAUGUGCAAACUUUUCUACAACACAGUCAACUAAAGUGAUGUGCCUGUUUUUGUUUGUCACCUUUCCAGGCGUCUGCUACAAGCCUAGUAGCAGCCCAACCGCUACGAACUAGCAACGGUGCCCACACUGGCAUCGUCAUCCACUUCGUCGUGCUCUCCCCCACCGGUCUGUCCGUACAAUUUCCACCACAAAUGUGCCAAGACAUUUGCUAAAGCAAGUAACAUAUCCAUUACUGCUGAGAUUGUGUACUUGUAUGCCUCCUGGUUAUCCGUACUUCGGUGCAAUAUAAUUGCAGCUGCUGUGUAUUCAAAUGGCUUGUAACCGUGCCAACUAGGACGAGGCCACGACGAAAAUAUUGCUGGACUUGUGCAUUGCUCAGAAGAACCAAUUCAAUUGGAGCAACAUGUGCCUCACUAAGUUGGGAUGGCAGCACGUGUACCGCAGCUUCAAACAACAGACUGGUCUGAAUUUGGGCAGCAAGCAGCUGCAGAACAAGUUGAACGCCUUGCGGAGAGCAUUCCAGAGCUGGAAGGACUUGCAAUCCCAAUCUGAUUUAGGUCGUGACAAACAAACUGGUGGCGUUGCUGCUGAUUCCAGCUUUUAGGAUGACGAUGAAGGGUACUGGUGCUGCCCAGCCGAGUUCUGUUAAGCCACCCCCGUUCCUCGAUGAAUUGUACACGUUGUAUGGCCGUGACACCCAAGACAGGGGCACCUUGCUGACGGCAGGAGGUAUUCGCGAGGUGACACCUAGCGUGGGGACUGAGGCUAGUAGUGCUCAUAACUUGUUCAAAAGGCUAUCCUGGGAAAUCUCUGUUGAUGGUCCUUCGAAAAGGAAAAGUGGCAGCUUGGAGGACUACGUCAGAGACCUUUCUAAAACUGUGGCAACGAGAAGCCAGAAACGUGUUAACCGUGAGGAAAUGGUCCGUGCAAUGCAACUUAUGGAAGAAGAUGGUCUACAGGAGAGGUCUCCGCUUUACUGCCAGGCACUUUAUUUAUGUACUAGGAACCCGGAUUAUCGGACGGCGUUCAUGCAGAUGAAAACGAAAGAGGGCCGACUGAAUUGGAUACAAUUCAACUGGGACAUGUUGAACAAGUAGAGUGAUUGUGGCAUGACUUUAUUUUAUUCUAGUGAUGUGUACUGAUGGGUUGAAACAAUAAUGUUUGCUUAUGUAACAUGUCCUGUUCCAUGAA